rnacentral:rRNA from 1 species
UACGAAGGGUGCAAACGUUGCUCGGAAUCAUUGGGCGUAAAGCGUACGUAGGCGGCCUCGCAAGUCUGAUGUGAAAUCCCUCUGCUCAACCGAGGACGUGCAUCGGAAACUGCGGGGCUUGAGUACUGAAGAGGAUCGCGGAAUUCCCGGUGUAGAGGUGAAAUUCGUAGAUAUCGGGAGGAACACCAGUGGCGAAGGCGGCGAUCUGGGCAGAUACUGACGCUGAGGUGCGAAAGCGUGGGGAGCAAACAGG